rnacentral:rRNA from 1 species
GACGAACGCUGGCGGCGUGCUUAACACAUGCAAGUCGAACGAAGUGGCGAACGGGUGAGUAACGCGUAAUCAACCUGCCCUUCAGAGGGGGACAACAGUUGGAAACGACUGCUAAUACCGCAUACGGAAGGAGGGGAUUGAGUCUGGGGAGCUAGUUGGAGGGGUAACGGCCCAACAAGGCGAUGAUCAGUAGACGGUCUGAGAGGAGGAACGGCCACAUUGGGACGGAGACACGGCCCAGAAUCCUACGGGAGGCAGGAGUGGGGAAGCUUCCGAAAUGGACGAAAGUCUGACGGAGCAACGCCGCGUGAGUGAGGACGGCCUUCGGGUGGUAAAGCUCUGUUAAUCGGGACGCGGUACCGGAAUAGAAAGCCACGGCUAACUACGUGCCAGCAGCCGCGGUAAUUC